CUUAAAGGAGUCACAGGACAUGAUCUAACCCACUCUCAUUUUACUGGAGAGGAGAACGAUGCAGACAGACAACCAAGGAGCUGACUUCAAGUUACAGGCUCUGCAAUUUUCACUUGAGAAAUCAUGAGCAUUUUCUCACUGAAAUCCAUGUCAGGACAACUUCCUUAGCUGGAGAGGGGUGAGGGGAGGAUGGAUACUAACACACAUGACAGUUGUUAGUAUCCACCGAGGCUUCUGCAAUUGGAAUCCAGUUUGACUGAACACACAGACCUCUCCCUUGGUCCCCUGAAUUCCCCUGAUGAUCUGAAGGGACUGUACACCUGGGCCCAUUUCCUCAGAUGACAUCAAGGAAAUACCCGCGUGACUCCUCAAGUAAUCCAGCGUCAUCUUGGAUUGGACCAUGAGAACAAAGGCUAGGCAGCUGACCCAGGACAACAGAUCGCUGCCAAGAGAGGCAGCUGGAGAUGCUGGGGGUUGGCAGAAAAGAACCUGGUUAGCUUGGGUGCUGGGGAAAUGUGGCCUGAGGCGACAGGGGGCCAGGAAGCCUCAGGAACUAAGAGGCUUCGUGCUGGGCAGGCAGACUGUCUUCCCUUCUCCCUCUGCCUCUGCCUCCCACCCCUACCCGCCCACCCAGCCACAUCAAUUUCUUUAUCUUUGAAAUUACAGGUUGUUUGUUUCAAAUGGCCUGAGUCAUAUAUGUUCCUUGUGGAAAUAACCGAAAGUAACAGAAAAGAAGUUCCUCCUCAUCCUGGUACCCAGAGCAGAGUCUGUUACUAUUUCACUGUGUGAUGCUUCCAUGCUUGUUCUUGCAUCUAAGUAUGCCUACAUAUAAAGACGAUUUUUAUACUAACAGACGUGCGUGUUGAUAGUAUUAUGAUUGACAGUGACUGUUGUUUCAUGUAUUUAAUGUAAUGAAAACACAAUAUUCCCUAAAGUGUGUUUUUUAUUGGCUGCAUAAUCUAACAAGCAUAUGUGCCAUGGAGAUUCAGGAG